rnacentral:rRNA from 1 species
UUCCUACGGGGCGCAGCAGUGGGGAAUAUUGGGCAAUGGGCGCAAGCCUGACCCAGCAACGCCGCGUGAAGGAAGAAGGCUUUCGGGUUGUAAACUUCUUUUGUCAGGGACGAAGCAAGUGACGGUACCUGACGAAUAAGCCACGGCUAACUACGUGCCAGCAGCCGCGGUAAUACGUAGGUGGCAAGCGUUAUCCGGAUUUAUUGGGUGUAAAGGGCGUGUAGGCGGGAAAGCAAGUCAGAUGUGAAAACUCAGGGCUCAACCCUGAGCCUGCAUUUGAAUCUGUUUUUCUUG